ACAUUGAUUCGUGGUAUAUAGUAUGUUAUUUCUCUUCAAUCUCUCCUCUUUGUCAUUCUCAAAUGCUCCUCCAGGUGCUGAGGACGAUUGGCCGCUUGGGAAUACACCUCAGAACUGGUUCUGGCUUGCGUCGUAAGCCGCUCGUGAGCCUGGUGUGGUUACGGGUUUUAAAGAUCAUCACCUUUUGCUCACAUCUCCUGGGCCCUGUCUCCUGCCCCCUGCCUCCUGCCAUGGCCCUGCUGAUGCCCCUCC